UACGUAGGGUGCGAGCGUUAAUCGGAAUUACUGGGCGUAAAGCGUGCGCAGGCGGUAAUGUAAGACAGAUGUGAAAUCCCCGGGCUUAACCUGGGACCUGCAUUUGUGACUGCAUUGCUGGAGUGUGGCAGAGGGGGGUGGAAUUCCACGUGUAGCAGUGAAAUGCGUAGAGAUGUGGAGGAACACCGAUGGCGAAGGCAGCCCCCUGGGCUGAGAUUGACGCUCAGGCACGAAAGCGUGGGGAGCAAACAGG
rnacentral:rRNA from 1 species